rnacentral:rRNA from 1 species
GACGAACGCUGGCGGCGUGCUUAACACAUGCAAGUCGAACGGAAAGGCCCUGCUUUUGUGGGGUGCUCGAGUGGCGAACGGGUGAGUAACACGUGAGUAACCUGCCCUUGACUUUGGGAUAACUUAAGGAAACUGGGGCUAAUACCGGAUAGGACCUCCUGCGGCAUGGUGGGGGUUGGAAAGUUUCGGCGGUGGGGGAUGGACUCGCGGCUUAUCAGCUUGUGGGUGGGGUAGUGGCUUACCAAGGCUUUGACGGGUAGCCGGCCUGAGAGGGUGACCGGCCACAUUGGGACUGAGAUACGGCCCAGACUCCUACGGGAGGCAGCAGUGGGGAAUAUUGCACAAUGGGCGGAAGCCUGAUGCAGCAACGCCGCGUGCGGGAUGACGGCCUUCGGGUUGUAAACCGCUUUCGCCUGUGACGAAGCGUGAGUGACGGUAAUGGGUAAAGAAGCACCGGCUAACUACGUG